AGACUCCUACGGGAGGCAGCAGUGAGGAAUAUUGGUCAAUGGACGAGAGUCUGAACCAGCCAAGUAGCGUGCAGGAAGACGGCCCUAUGGGUUGUAAAACUGCUUUUAUAAGGGAAUAAAAGUGAGUCUCGUGAGACUUUUUGCAUGUACCUUAUGAAUAAGGACCGGCUAAUUCCGUGC
rnacentral:rRNA from 1 species